CUUGAUCCGAAAGUGAGCUUUUGAGAGUGAGUUCAGGAGAAGUGAGCUGGGCUGCACCCCCGGGGCUUUUUCUUCCGCAGCUUUUUCUUACAAUUCGAUUCUCCUCUCGGUGCCACUGCCGUAGUUCCAACCAGCACCCUCAGAGGAAAGGCCAUGUAAGGACAAAGGAGCCAUCCAUAGGCCAAGAAGAGAGUGCCUGCCAGACCUGAACCCUAUUGGAACCUGGAUCUUGGACUUUCCAGCCUCCACAACUACUCACUCUCUGCCUGCCCUUCUUCACUACUUGCUGUGCCUGGAAGACUCUUCUUUAUGGAUGGAAUCAGUGCUUGCCCUCUAGCUUCUGGCUGGGAUUAGCUAAUGGGAAGCAUCACCAGGAGACUGAAGAGUAGAAAGAGGUUGACAUAUUUAUUACUGUAACUCUCUCCCUGAUGGAUCACCAAGAGUUGGAUGCUCCUCUCUCCUGAAGGUCACAGUUCCUCUUCUUGUUGUUAUGCCGUGCCCUUUCCCCUUGUCCCUGCACACACAGGGAUGGGUAAUCAAAUCCCACUGUUGCUGGCCCUAAGGUACUGCAUUUCCCUUCUCCGAUGGUGUGGCUGUUUCUUGAGUAUGGUCGUAUAGGACCCAUGUGUCUCCCUCAAAACAUCCAUCAUGGUCCCAUGUACAGAGUAAACAUUGGUCAUUCAUGCUGUUGACAACCUCAGGAAAGUCCUUCGCUUCAUCUGGUCCAUCUUUCCAAAGUCACACUAUCAGACCCAUUCAGCAAAUCAUAUUCCAUCUGUUUCCACAAAGUCUUUUCAUCAUUGUUAUCCAACACAUGCAUUUAAUGAGAUUUUGCCACUUAUGGUAAGCAGGGUCGUGUCAUGGAAACAGUAAGUGUUUUGGACCCUUACUCACCCUGGUUCAACUCCUAGCUCUGCUAUUAGUUGGAUAACAUGGGAAAAGCCACUUAAAGUCCCCAAGAACCACUGUCAUCAUCUACAAAUGUGAGAUGUAGAAUCGCCACAUCUCUCUCUCCUCCCCCUUGCUCUUUCCCUAGCUUCACUGACCAAGUAGAGUUCUUUGUCCCCAGUUUGAACACAAUGGCUGGUGGUGGUAGGAUGAAGAAGGGAUAGAAAAGAAAGGGAAGGAAAAUGAUAGAAGGUACAGAUAUAUGGCAAUAUGGACAAUGCUAAUGAGCAACAUUAAAUAUGUUUUUAGGAGCUGUGGAAGAAACUGUGAGACCUAAAGAAGCUAAGGAAAAAACAUGAGGAGGUGUAAAAAACGAACAAGCUGGAAUAUUCUGGUGCUGCUUGUCUGAGUGGGGGUGCUAUAUUAGACAUCUGCAUUACCAUGUUCCCUCCAGUACUUUUUCCAGUUAGAGCAGAUUGAAGCAAAGAAUUUACCCAUGGUAGAAAAUAGGACACUAGUAGAAACAAAUGUGCCAAUGAGAAGCAAAGGAAGUGACCAUCAUUCUUUCCACUCCUUAAAUGAGUUGGUUUAUAAGUAAUUCUUCAUAAGUUCCCAUCUAACUGGAAUUUUUAAUCUUCCAACCCUACCAGUAAAGUAAGCACCAUAAUGCAGAACUCUUGGAACAAGCUGAUUUACUCUUAUUACUUUUUAUUUUUUUAUAGAUAAUACCUUAGUUACUUUUGUGGGGUGGGGUGGGGGGCAAGAUUUUCCAGCACCCCUGUAAGGCAGGCUUGGUGUGAAAUGAAAGACAACCCAAGAGAAAAGGACGGGCAUGUUUGUGUCAUACUCUGGGCUCAGAGUGUCUCCAUCAUUGGCUACAGCUAAGUGUGUUCUUGCAGGCAGUGAGCCAAGCCUGCCUGCCUGCCUGGCUGUUCUGAAGAAUCCCAGCAGGGUCAGGGGCAUUACACUGCCUGCACCAAAGGGUUGCUAUGAGGCAGUUCAAUGAGACAAUACGGUACCCAACACAUACAUAGUGGGCAUUCUACACAUGUCUGCAUUAUUUUUUGUAGAGAUUUAGAGCCUGUAUACAAUUUAGAUGAAAGUCUUUUAUUUUUUUUAAUUCAGAAAAUCAUUAUGGUUGACAUUGUCCUAUUGGUAAUGCCAACUUUUGCAACAGUUACUUCCACCUCCUUUACACCUCUCUCCGUGACAAACAAGGAAGGAUAUCUGGUAACGCUGAGGAGCAAACAAGUCACAUACCCAAGUAUUUAAGUUGUUUGAUGUCAACUAUAUGUUCAACAAAAGAAAAUAAUACAGAUGAACAUAUACAUAUAUAUAUAUGUAAUCUUCCCUCUGACAGUAUGGUCCUUAAAUUCAAGCCAACUACUUCAUCUGGUGCUCAACCAAAGAAACAGCCAUGGCCAUCUGUUCCAACUUUGGAGAAAAGCUGGCUGUAUUGAGCUUCCUGAGAGAUGGCACAGAAUACAUAAAACCAUGUGAUCGGUACUGUAUGGGUGAUUUAUGAAAUUUUUAAUGGUAACUUUUUUCUAUAUACAGCUUUUGCACUAUGUGUUGACUUUAGAACCCAUACUCCAAGUGUGGUACACCACCACUGCCACAUAGGACUGUGUGUCACCUCAGGUUGUCAGACCCUAAGGGUCCAUGAAAAGUGACUCCUACCAAUGUCCUGUGUUACUCUGAGGUUAAUGUGGAAACUGCUUAGGCAGUCUCACAGCUGUGAAGACAUCUUC